AUUGAACGCUGGCGGCAGGCCUAACACAUGCAAGUCGAGCGGAUGAAGGGAGCUUGCUCCUGGAUUCAGCGGCGGACGGGUGAGUAAUGCCUAGGAAUCUGCCUGGUAGUGGGGGAUAACGUCCGGAAACGGGCGCUAAUACCGCAUACGUCCUGAGGGAGAAAGGGGGGGAUCUUCGGACCUCACGCUAUCAGAUGAGCCUAGGUCGGAUUAGCUAGUUGGUGGGGUAAAGGCCUACCAAGGCGACGAUCCGUAACUGGUCUGAGAGGAUGAUCAGUCACACUGGAACUGAGACACGGUCCAGACUCCUACGGGAGGCAGCAGUGGGGAAUAUUGGACAAUGGGCGAAAGCCUGAUCCAGCCCUGCCGCGUGUGUGAAGAAGGUCUUCGGAUUGUAAAGCACUUUAAGUUGGGAGGAAGGGCAGUAAGUUAAUACCUUGCUGUUUUGACGUUACCAACAGAAUAAGCACCGGCUAACUUCGUG
rnacentral:rRNA from 1 species